GGUGUAGGCGGAGUGGUAAGUACCUUGUGAAAGCCCCGGGCUCAACCCGGGAAUUGCUCGGUAUACUGUCGCUCUUGAGGCAGGCAGGGGUCACUGGAACCUUAGGUGGAGCGGUGAAAUGCGUAGAUAUCUAAGGGAACGCCUGUGGCGAAAGCGGGUGACUGGGCCUGUUCUGACGCUGAGACCCGAAAGCGUAGGGAGCGAACG
rnacentral:rRNA from 1 species